rnacentral:rRNA from 1 species
GAUGAACGCUAGCGGCAGGCCUAAUACAUGCAAGUCGAACGGUGUCUUCGGACAUAGUGGCGCACGGGUGCGUAACACGUAUGCAACCUACCUUACAUUGGGGGAUAGCCUUUCGAAAGGGAGAUUAAUACCGCAUAAGACAGUAGCUGGGCAUCCAGCAGCUGUUAAAGAUUUAUCGAUGUAAGAUGGGCAUGCGUCCAAUUAGUUAGUUGGCGAGGUAACGGCUCACCAAGACUUUGAUUGGUAGGGGAACUGAGAGGUCAAUCCCCCACACUGGCACUGGGAUACGGGCCAGACUCCUACGGGAGGCAGCAGUAGGGAAUAUUGGGCAAUGGACGCAAGUCUGACCCAGCCAUGCCGCGUGCAGGAUGAAGGCGUUAUGCGUUGUAAACUGCUUUUAUACAGGAAGAAACGACUCUUGCGAGAGGCAUUGACGGUACUGUAUGAAUAAGCACCGGCUAACUCCGUGCCAGCAGCCGCAGUAAAAC